rnacentral:tRNA from 1 species
GGAGGUGUAGCUCAGUGCUAGAGCAUGUGCUUGGUAUGCACAAGGCCUUGAGUUUAAUCUCCAAUUACCCCCC